GGGCGCUUAGCUCAGCGGUUAGAGCGUUCGGUUUACACCCGAAAGGUCGUCCGUUCAAAUCGGACAGUGCCCACCA
rnacentral:tRNA from 4 species